rnacentral:misc_RNA from 1 species
GAGCACUUUGUCACGUAUCCCGCCGCAUCCCCCACCAGCGCUACUCUCCCCCGUACCCUCGUCGGACGUGGGUGCUCCGGUAUUGGGUGUGCCUCCAAUUUGAUCACUUUCCCCCCAUUGAUCUUGUGGCUUACCCUUUCUCUGAUCCCUCUCUGGUAUACUUUAAUGUCUGGUUUCGCGCACACUGUACCAGUGCCCACUGCCACGUGGUCGCAUUUGGGGAAUACCCACGCGUAGAAAUCGGGUGACACGUCAUUUCCUACGUACAUCUCUGCGAGAUUUUGGUAGUAUUCCAUUUUCUCUUCGGGUAAUCUAAUUCUCUCUUGGAAAGCGAUGGCACAAGUGUAAUUUCCAGCUUUUAUCGAUUUGGCGACUCUGCUGUUGGCUCCGUCCGCUCCGAUGAUCACAUCGACGGCUAGGGUGCGUUUGGUGUUGUUGCUCGUGUGGUGGAUGAUGUAAGGCUCGGUUGAUGAGGAAGGGACCUCCAGAUGCGUGACGAGGGCGGGAAUCAAAUGAGCGCCACUGGAUNAUUGGGCACGAGAGCGGAGGAAGGAGUCCAAUACUUCACGGCGGAGCAUGGGGAUGGACUCGUGAGGUUUGAGGGUUUUGGAGCCAAAAUCAACAGUGAGAUUAGAAGGGGAAAUGAUUUUCAUGCGAGUGACAUGGCGGUCGAUGAGGUGGAGAGGGAUGGAGAAUUCGUCGAGCAUGCAGAGAGGAAUGGCUCCGCCACAGGGCUUGGCUGUGGAAGUGCUGCGUUCGAAGAGAAAAGUUUCGAUUCCACCAGAGGUGAGGGCUUCCGCAGCAGAGGAGCCAGCUGGGCCGCCUCCAACGACGGCAACGCGUAGCUUCCGGCCAGAGAGUAGCUUGGUGGGGGAAGAAGAGGCAGUAAUAGUAAGAGUUGGGCGUUUUGAGUGGGCGCAUUCGGAGGAGGGUGUGGGUAGUGGAGACAGGAAGCAUGGUUGAAAGGUGUGGGGGGUUUGUGUCAUAGACAUGGUUUGUUGAAGAAAGUAUUGGGUUUUCCAGCAAAAGGAGAGUAUGUGUGUGUGAUGUG